GUGGAGUAUAGGAGGCAGUGCUGUGUUUCUGGCGCAGACGAGAUGACACUGUCCUCAUAUAUCCUGAUCAUUCAUUGAGUUUGCGAUGAAGAAGGAAUAAAUAUAUAAAGGCAGUGUCAUUUCUCUGCGCCUGAAACCUCCUGUUCCUGUAAAUCUAU
rnacentral:pre_miRNA from 1 species